rnacentral:lncRNA from 10 species
GGUGCUGGCCGCGCGGGAGGCAGAAGGGGCGCAAACAGCCGCUGCGUUCUCGGCCCAGCUCGCCCCUUAAAUAGCCUGGCUGGCUGGAGUCAGCCUAAUUUGUCAUCCCCAUGCCGGCCGGCUGCUAGCUGCAGCUCCUGGAACUAGAGGAAAAGGAACCAAAGCAAGAACACUGACUCAGGGCUUGGCUGGGAUCAGCCUGGUACAGAGACUGUGCCUGCACUUGCAGAGCCUGGCAGAGAGUCACCUUCUGAUUUUCUGCCUAAAUGCAGUGGAAUUUGAAGUCAGUCACCUAGAUUCUGAUCCAGCUGCGUCACUUGUCAGCUAUUGCCUUUGACAGAACUCUCUGCCUCCAGGGAGUGGUUUCUGACCUGCCCCACCUGGUCCUAGUUCCUCAGUCUGGACUCUGUUUACACCACAUUCACCUGCACUCAGCUGAGUGCAUCCUCCAGGGGUGCUGUUGAUCUAAGUGGGUGCCAAGGACAGAGCUGUGUCUUCUCCUCCCCUUUGGCUUCCCCCAGUGCCCAGGAGAGUGCUGUGCUCCCAGCAAGCUAUGGGCCACC